rnacentral:rRNA from 1 species
CAGGCCUAACACAUGCAAGUCGAGCGGGCCCUUCGGGGUCAGCGGCGGACGGGUGAGUAACGCGUGGGAACGUGCCUUCUGGUUCGGAAUAACCCUGGGAAACUAGGGCUAAUACCGGAUACGCCCUUUUGGGGAAAGGUUUACUGCCGGAAGAUUGGCCCGCGUCUGAUUAGCUAGUUGGUGGGGUAACGGCCUACCAAGGCGACGAUCCGUAGCUGGUCUGAGAGGAUGAUCAGCCACACUGGGACUGAGACACGGCCCAGACUCCUACGGGAGGCAGCAGUGGGGAAUAUUGGACAAUGGGCGAAAGCCUGAUCCAGCAAUGCCGCGUGAGUGAUGAAGGCCUUAGGGUUGUAAAGCUCUUUUACCCGGGAAGAUAAUGACUGUACCGGGAGAAUAAGCCCCGGCUAACUCCGUGCCAGCAGCCGCGGUAAU